UUGGGUUAAGUCCCGCAACGAGCGCAACCCCUAUUGUUAGUUGCCAUCAUUCAGUUGGGCACUCUAGCGAGACUGCCGGUAAUAAACCGGAGGAAGGUGGGGAUGACGUCAAAUCAUCAUGCCCCUUAUGACCUGGGCUACACACGUGCUACAAUGGUUGGUACAACGAGUUGCGAGUCGGUGACGGCGAGCUAACCUCUUAAAGCCAAUCUCAGUUCGGAUUGUAGGCUGCAACUCGCCUACAUGAAGUCGGAAUCGCUAGUAAUCGCGGAUCAGCACGCCGCGGUGAAUACGUUCCCGGGCCUU
rnacentral:rRNA from 1 species